GGUGCGAAUCAGUUUCAGCGGCUAGGUGUGUGUUCGAGUGGCUAUCUAUGUGGGCUCGGGCAGUUACCGCCGUUACUCCUGACGUCGCCCCUCGUCGCUCGUACCGCUCGGGCAGCUCGUCGGACACCCCGCGGGUUCCCGUUCGGAGGUGGUACCGCGUCGACUACCCGCACCUGCGCGAGCCCGACCAGAGGUACCAGCACGUCCGGCGGGACCACCGCGCGGCGGUGGCCCUACGGACGCACGCCGAGCGCGUCGUGCACCUCGAGCAACCGCCGGACGAGCCCCUCGACCUCGAGCGGCUCGACUACGCAGCCCUCCGGUGGUCCGCCGGCGACCUCGUCGAGCCGCCGCGCGACGCCGCCACGAUGCGCGACCAGUGCCGCACGGUCCUGACGCCGAUGGACGCGGCGGACGAGGACCCUCGGGCCUACCGGCUCCUCGAGGCGCGGCGCGUCGUACUCUAGCUGUACAAGUAGGUGGAGUAGGGCGAGUAGCGGGAGCAGCUGUUAAGGUGACGUCUAUCAGCGGCACAGUUCCGACUACUCCCCCACGAGUGACAUCAGUGUCUAUCAAGUUUAGCAGUGUAGUCCUAAGGUUUGUUUCCUCGAUGGUUUGAGACACCAUAACCUCUUGUGGGUAAACAUCCUUUUCACCUGGACGCUCUUGUCUUAUAGCAACUGUAACUUCUUGAACACCUCGAAACAUGGGCAUACCUUCUCCGAACGCGUCCUAAGUGUUCCAAGCUAAAGACAGUCUAGAACCUACGAUGUCUUUUAAAGAGUCUCUUCUACUAUCAACCCACCCCUCCUAAACCCUUCCACAUGUUCCCGGUCAACGGACCACCUGAAUUACAACGGUAGUUUUCUCGACUACUCGUGCGUCGUUACGAACUUCAGUUGUCACUUAACGUCGAACGUUUCGAAGUCGUACGGUUACACUAAUCCAAUAACCCCACCACGUAGGUACCCUUUCUUUCCUAAGAUCACAUACUCAAGUACGUUUUACCAAGGAACCUAGCAAUGGAUACGCCAUUCAAAAGGGAUGACAUUCAAUAAAGGUACGCACGGAGUAAAUUAAGGUUCAUACAUACACGUGCUUACGUUUGGCAGAUGCUAAUUUAGUUCCGAUGUUGUUGGGAUUAAGGUACCCGGUUAGUUCGUCCUGUUAUCUUCAUUGGUAUUGCUCAGGUCGAGGUUACAGCUGAUCUCAAGCUUAGUAAGAUCUGAGCCUCCAAACUAUAUUACCUCUUGUAAGUCAUCAUCGUAUAUAUAUGUUAUUUUUACAUUCGUUCCUAAUACCAGAAAAAUGCCGAGUCCAUCACAUAUAUAAGCUCUAUAAUUCUGGUCAAAACAUAUCACUUUUAUUUGUACAAAGACAUCAUGGUUGAUGGUUUUAGAAACGUUCGAACUAGAAGUCCAAAGACUCUAGUAUGUACCGUUUGGUUUUCGACCGUACAAGUUGAACUCUUAUUAGUCUGAAGUUGAGUAAUAAAAAAAAGACAAAAAAAAAAACGCGUAUUAGUCUGAAGUUGAACUGUUCGUCGUUGAUGUCUCGAGUCUCAAUUCUAGACGUCGACGUGUGUCAUGUUUGUGUAGUCCUAGAGGUUUAUUCGCGACAAGACCUAACUUUUUUCUGGGACUACGCGGACUUAUAGAGGUAUGUUUGUGUAGUCCUUGAGACUUGACUUCGUCUCUCUGCAUCAUUAGUCUUCGGUACGGACCCGGCUGAGCCUAAGUUUUUGGUUUCACGCGCAAAAUCGAUACGGCCGGACCCGGCUGAAGCUGAGCCUAAGUUUGUGAAGUGACGGAGGGCGCAGGAAUAAAAGAACGAGCGGCACAAAGGGGUUUAGGGCUAGGUAGUCUGGUGCGGGAGGCUAGUCGGAGGGAGCUAGGUAGAAGGAGAGAGAGAGUCACGGCCUAGCAACGAGGAGCUAGUUGAGGCGCCGGCGCUGGUACCGGCCGUGGUGCCACGAGGGCGGCAGAGACGAGGGCGCGGCAUCGCGGCGGCGGAGGCGGCUGGACGUGAGGACGAGGAGGGCGCACGCGCACUUGGGACGGAACUACCGCUUGGGGCGCCGACGGUUCUUCGGUUUCGCGGGGCCUAGGUACGCGCCGCUCGUUGGCGGCGGCCGCUUCGCGGAUGCGCCACGGACGAGGCCCCCGCUCGAGGUACAGCGGCAGGGGCGGUUGUAGUUCUUGCCGUCGUUCGAAGGCAGAGGGUAGUCGCCGUUCCUAGACGAGGUGAGGAGGCGUUAGUUCUUGGUCCAGCGGCUUAGAGGCCGACGGCGCUGCGUUAGCUUCGGCGUCUACUCGUACGCGCUUGACUAGCGCUUGCGAGCGGAGUGGUACCGAGCGGAGCUGUUCCGAGCGAGACGGAGGUUUCUUCUCCGGUUGGCAGCCGUCCUCUAGCUCGCGUCGUCUCGUCUCCGGGCCGCUUUCUACCUCGUCUACCGCCUGUGCCACGUCAAGUUGCUGGGGACCUAGGUAGUGAGGCUGCACUGGUUCAGGGGACUCCUCGACGAGUUUCGUUCUGUCGUGCGUACCGCAAUAGUUCGAGUGGAGGAGCUCUACCGAGCAGCUGCCCUGAAACGAGUUCGCUACGUUUAGGUCCUACUCGCGAGCCCACUACCUUCGUCUCCUUCUUUAGUAGUCGUCACGUCCGAACGACCACCAUCAGAACGUAGUCUCCUUCGUUUCGUCUCAAUUCGAUCAGGAAGGAUUUGGUAAGUGUGUACUCAAAGUAAAUUAGAAACGUAGAGAUCCAAGACGUGAAUUAGUGGUUCUAAAGAUCACAAGAAAGUUAGGGAAAGUCGGUAAUCAUUAAAAUGUUCUCACAGUCGUCUCAGAGGUAGAUCGAUCCGUCGUUUUUGGAACAAUUCUACACAUGCCGUAUCAAUGUGAUGUAGGUGUGGACCAGGAUUCAUUCCCAAAUUCAUUUAUUUCCCGUAAAAGUUAUUUAGUUUCAUUUCGUCUACUCGGAUUUUUCCUUCGAGUACAUGACGUUAAGGCCGUGCUCUGUCUCGCAUUUUGCGUGAGCGGCGUUUUAGGUUUUACGGGCAAACGAUGGGCCGAACAUCGUCCUUUUUUCCUCAUCUUAACUUGAACAGCUAUGUGUGUCAUUAGUACACUCGACGGAUCGCAGACCUCUGAUACGACUGGGAGGACAUUUUAAUUAGAACCGACUGAACCUAAGAAUCCGUAACCGCAGCACCACUCAAUUUCAACGUCAAAGACUGCUCAUCGUAACCAACCACUUGAGAACACACAUACACACUCACUUCGAAACUCGAUUCGUUCAGGAACUACAUGGCUGAUAGUUCAGUAUGACAUUAGUUAAAAGCUAUACUUACUCUUUUAACAACCAGACUUAAAACGUCUCGUAGACUCAUUAGAAAAGCAUAGAUAAAUAAGAACAUACGAAGACACCGAAGAAUUUCGUAAGACGACGAGAUCAGCCUUUUCACACAUGACUCCGUGUCUAGGUUACUUAAGUAGAGACUAAAGUGUUAUGAAGCAAACUGCCCUGAAACGAGUUCGCUACGUUUAGGUGCCUACUGACGUUAGGUGCCCACUAGCUUCGUCUCCUUCUUUAGUAGUCGUCACGUUCGAAGAACCACGAUCAGAAUGUAGUCUCCUUCGUUUCGUCUCCUUCGUCUCAGCCGUCAAAAGGUCAUCGACUCUUUUAGUCUCGUUCGUUUCCUACCCUACCUAUUCUAUGUUCAACAGUUGAUACAAUAGAUGAUCAACGUUCAAACAUCCUCAUAAAGUGACCGUAUAAAAGGUCAUCACGCUCACUCUAAGACCUAAACCGGUAAUCAAUCACACGUAAUACUAGUGUUAACCAGUUAAUUACGUUCCCUAAACUAAGUACAUUCUUGUAACCUAGAGAAAGAUGCAAAAGUAGACAACAUACAAGGAAGGAUUAUUGUUAAGAAAAGUACUUGUUUCUUCUAAUGACGACACGAACUUGAUAAGGUUUAGUGACAAUAAAAAGUCCUCUUCUUGUCUAUAUACAGGGGCAGAUCUUUUAAAAUAUGGUGUUGUUAAGUCUUAAAUAAACAGCGUAGUCCUUCCGCGGUUUUUCGUACAGAGGACUCGAGGACUUAGGACUACGUAUGUACGUAGUAACAACGGUUCACGAGUAGUCCGGACGUUCUUGUCUUAUGUCUUUUAGGAACUGUUGUUUCUUAAUCACCUUGAAACGUACGCGUGUCCUCUUUUAAUGGGUCCUAAGUCACAAGUUAAUGAAAGUCUAGCACCUACGAUGUCUAUUAAAGAGUCUCUUCUCUAUAGAACCUAGACCACCUAAACGAUGUCGUAUGUGCCUAGUCAACGGGGUACCUGAACACCAACCGUAGUUCUCUAAGCUAGUGGCACGUUACAAUAGAAUAAAGUCGUUACUUGACGUCGAACGAUCCGAAGCCGUAUGGUUACAUUGUUCGGUCUUAUUUUCCCGGUAAUGAUCUGACCAGAUUCUCUGAGUUUUAUUAGUUUCCGAUUUUGGGACUCAGGUCUGCAUUGUCUUCUCGUAUGUACGUCCCACCACCCGUGAUCACCAAUGUAUCGGGGCCUCAUGCGUAGAGCUCCCCAAAUGAGAGACUUCUGCCUACGCAAGUCGAAGCCGUAGAACCAAGACCUCUGGUAAUCGUCUGCUUUCUUGUGGUAUGAGCUGUUCGCUCCCCUAUGGCAGCCGCUAGAACAUGCUCUACGGACCACAUAUACCUUCCUGUCUUCCGACGUACUCGAGCAUCUAGCUAGUGAUCCCGUGCCUAUACUGUAGCGGCUCCAUCACUACAUGCGAGUCCAACGCGACGAGAACGAGACACGAGUCCUUCUAGGUCACCUAGCGGGACGGUACUGCCUACAACGACGUUACGACUCGAGACUUUCGUACUCGAAUGGUUACCUCGGAUUCCUCGGAAGGCGCGACUCACUUCCCCCACGACCACUUCUAUGUAUGUAUUUGGCUAGUUCGGCCUGUUAUCUGUAUUGGUAUUGCUCAAGUCGGUGUCACGACUGAUCUCAAGCGAAGUAGUAUCUGGGCCUCCAAACUACGCUGCUUUUUACAAGUUACGGUGUAUACCAACCUUAACCUUGCACACCUUCCUAGUACCGGAAAAAUAACAAGUCUCGUUACACGUCCAAAGUCUAUAAUU
rnacentral:rRNA from 1 species